rnacentral:rRNA from 1 species
GAUGAACGCUGGCGGCGUGCCUAAUACAUGCAAGUCGAGCGAACAGACGAGGAGCUUGCUCCUUUGACGUUAGCGGCGGACGGGUGAGUAACACGUAGGUAACCUACCUAUAAGACUGGGAUAACUUCGGGAAACCGGAGCUAAUACCGGAUAAUAUUUCGAACCGCAUGGUUCGAUAGUGAAAGAUGGCUUUGCUAUCACUUAUAGAUGGACCUGCGCCGUAUUAGCUAGUUGGUAAGGUAACGGCUUACCAAGGCAACGAUACGUAGCCGACCUGAUAGGGUGAUCGGCCACACUGGAACUGAGACACGGUCCAGACUCCUACGGGAGGCAGCAGUAGGGAAUCUUACGCAAUGGGCGGAAGUCUGACGGAGCAACGCCGCUUGAGUGAUGAAGGUCUUCGGAUCGUAAAACUCUGUUAUUAGGGAAGAACAAACGUGUAAGUAACUGUGCACGUCUUGACGGUACCUAAUCAGAAAGCCACGGCUAACUACGUG